rnacentral:rRNA from 1 species
GACGUAGGGCGCGAGCGUUGUCCGGAUUUAUUGGGCGUAAAGAGCUCGUAGGCGGCUCGUUGCGUCGGCUGUGAAAACCCGCAGCUCAACUGUGGGCUUGCAGCUGAUACGGGCGGGCUUGGAUUUGGUAGGGGAGACUGGAAUUCCUGGUGUAGCGGUGAAAUGCGCAGAUAUCAGGAGGAACACCGGUGGCGAAGGCGGGUCUCUGGGCCGAUAUCGACGCUGAGGAGCGAAAGCGUGGGGAGCGAACAGG